rnacentral:tRNA from 1 species
GGGCAGAUAGCUCAGUCGGUAGAGCAGGAGAUUGAAAAUUUCCGUGUCGGGGGUUCAAUUCCCUCUCUGCCCACCA